rnacentral:lncRNA from 1 species
AAGUUAAGUUUACUUGCAAAUUAGUUUUUGCCUGUAUGGGACAGUUUUAAAAGUUGUGCUAGUAUUGCUUCUAAAAUAAACACUGUUACUCCAGUGUAAGGAUGACUUCCUUCCCUCUGUUUAGCUGAAACCUUUUCCCCAGGGACAUAAUCAAAACUGAAGAAAAGCCCUACUCCAACAGGAAUAGCAGCGAUUAUAUCAUUUGUAUUCUGGUUUUAGUUUAUGACUUAGUUUACAUUGAAAAAAUCAUUGUGUGCAGUGAUGCAAAACUUAAGGACAUUUUAUUUUGAGGGAUAAUACAUAUAUUUUGAAACACUCUAGAAACAUUUAUGAUCACUUGCUGCGUGUUUGGAAAAUGUUUGGAAUAUUUGAAUGAUCGUAUGAGACUAUUUCCUUUCUUUUUAGAGAAUAUGCUACACAGCAUUUGUAAAUGCCCUUGAGCUAAGAAAAUGUCCUACAGAUUUUGAUUAAAGGUCACUAAUCCUAAAGAAGUUUGUGCUCACAGACCAGUUCUCUCUGUGUCUACUACUAUUUGUAAGACACGUGAAGGUAAAUGUUCCUGAUAAAACUGGUCUUUACUGCUCUGAUGAUUGCUUCUCAGAAAGGACAUGACGGACUUGGGAAAAUAUUCAUAUGAAAGGGAACAGAGGUCCAUCAGAAGAAUGGAAGUGCAAAAAAAGAGCCAAGAAACUUUGGAGAGAGAGGGGAAGAUGCAAGUUAGCUAGCACAUCUCCAAGAACUGUACUGCACUGGUAAGUAACCUUUCUUCUUUAAGCUUUUGCCCCGUUUGCUUGUUGUACUGUGGUUGACUUCAGAUCACCACUGGAGGUGAAUAUCAAUUGGAAAACCACUAAAUUCAGCACCUUCUCUGGAACUUCCAUGGAGCCAUAAUAUUGCUUAAUGUUGCAUCUUUGUGCCCUCAGUACUAGCAGUAGGCACAUUCUGUUUGGAAGGCAUUAACAUUAUUUGAUAUCUGAUGAAAUGAGCUCUGCUCAACAUUGAUAGAGCUGCUGAGCCAAAUUUGUAUUCAUAUUAAUGUAGUCCAGGACUCCAACGACUGAACUGUUACUCAAGACAGAAAUUCUCAUGACUUGAUUUUCCACUCUGGCUACUUCAGAGACAUCUAUAGAAAGUUUAGUCCUUAUUUUUUUUAUGUCCAGGGCUUGUAGCUGUUCCUAUUCUCAAGGAGUCAGAUGG